rnacentral:lncRNA from 1 species
GCAGCCCCUUCUCGGCAGCCGGGAUCGUAAGAUCACUUGCUCUGGGGACAUUCUCAUGACAUUACACCUCUUCCAUGUCCAACACUUCUAUCCCUGCCCCACUAUCCCCCUGUGGUGUUCCAGACUCUUCUGUGUACUCUUGGCCUGGGAGGCUCUGCAUCCCGUCUACCUGCUACCGUUCUUACUCAUUCUGCAGCAUCCAUUCAAACAAGCCUCACUGACACCUCCAAUCCUACAGUGGCCAUUACUCACUCUUUCUCUCUCUUCAGGGCAUCUUUAGGCUUUUGUUUAGAUCUAUUUAGUACCAAUUCGAAGCUUUGGGCCCCAUCACAUGAGUUUGCUUUUUUCCCUGACUAAACUGUUGGCUGCUCCAGGGCAGACACCAGGUGUUGUCAGCUUUUCAC